UGAACGCUGGCGGCGUGCCUAAUACAUGCAAGUCGAGCGAACAGACGAGGAGCUUGCUCCUCUGACGUUAGCGGCGGACGGGUGAGUAACACGUGGAUAACCUACCUAUAAGACUGGGAUAACUUCGGGAAACCGGAGCUAAUACCGGAUAAUAUAUUGAACCGCAUGGUUCAAUAGUGAAAGACGGUUUUGCUGUCACUUAUAGAUGGAUCCGCGCCGCAUUAGCUAGUUGGUAAGGUAACGGCUUACCAAGGCAACGAUGCGUAGCCGACCUGAGAGGGUGAUCGGCCACACUGGAACUGAGACACGGUCCAGACUCCUACGGGAGGCAGCAGUAGGGAAUCUUCCGCAAUGGGCGAAAGCCUGACGGAGCAACGCCGCGUGAGUGAUGAAGGUCUUCGGAUCGUAAAACUCUGUUAUUAGGGAAGAACAAAUGUGUAAGUAACUACGCACGUCUUGACGGUACCUAAUCAGAAAGCCACGGCUAACUACGUG
rnacentral:rRNA from 1 species